GAAGAAUAAGAAUAAUAACUAGAUUUGUAAUUGCUAGCAAUAACGGAUGGCACCCUUCCCCCAUUGCCAGGUGAGCGGCAGCCAUUUUGAAAAUUCCAAAGUCAAAGACCGCAUCUACAGAUGUUUAUAAACAUUGUUGUAAAAUUUCAUCUCGUUUGAAGCAUUUUGAAAUUUUUGAAAUUUUUGCUGUUUCCAUGGUAAC
rnacentral:lncRNA from 1 species